CAGUAGCCGCGGGAAUACGAAGGGGGCUAGCGUUGUUCGGAAUCACUGGGCGUAAAGGGUGCGUAGGCGGGAUCUUAAGUCAGGGGUGAAAUCCCGAGGCUCAACCUCGGAACUGCCUUUGAUACUGGGGUCCUUGAGUCCGGAAGAGGUGAGUGGAACUGCGAGUGUAGAGGUGAAAUUCGUAGAUAUUCGCAAGAACACCGGUGGCGAAGGCGGCUCACUGGUCCGGAACUGACGCUGAGGCACGACAGCGUGGGGAGCAAACAGGAUUAGAUACCCGCGUAGUCCCUGUCUCUUAUAA
rnacentral:rRNA from 1 species